CCAGCCGGGAUGCCGCGUUGCCGCCGUCGUGCACCGCUCCGGGCCCUGCGCGGGGGAGAGGAGACAGACAAAGGUGAGCGGUGAGGAAGAGGCAAAGGAGAGCCCAAGAUGUUAAAUCCAAGCCCUGCCAGAAGAAGGCAACCUUAGACUUUGAGACCCUGACUCGAGUAAAGAUGGCAAGACUGGGAUUUUGCCUCUCUCAUAAGACCUUGAAUACAAAGGACUCGUGACAAGCAGGAAGGGAACGUGCCCACACCCACGGUGCUGCUGGAUCCCCUCUUUCCAAGGGGGCUCAAGGAAAAGGCAACAGCUGCUCUCCACUUCCCAUGGUCCACAACAGCAAUUAGUGAGGGAGAGUCUGCCCAAUGAUUCAUGUCUGAGGACAUAAGGAAGUCUUGGGGACUGGCUGGGGGGAAGCCUGUGCAGUGACUCAUGCCUGAGGGUAUAUGUGUCUGGACUAAGUCUUGGCAACCUCCCCAGGAUGAGAUUUUCCUGACAUUUUCCCUCAGGUAAACACAUGGUCCUUGAAGGAUUGUCUCUGCUCAUUGCAGGGGAGUUGGAGAAGAUGACCUUUAAAAGGUCCCCUCCAAC